UGUGCCCUGAAAAGCUCUUGCAGGUGGCCCAGCCGGGCAGUUUGCAAGGAGAGAACCCCGUGAAAGCCGGGGGCGGUCGCGCCGCUGUAAGGGAGGACGAAACCGGCAUGAACCAAUGCGCGUGACCCGCGUGUGAAGGAGCCGGGAGUAGGUUGAUCCCCGAGCCAGAAGAACUGCGGGAAGCGUGAUGUUGAG
rnacentral:ncRNA from 2 species